rnacentral:piRNA from 1 species
GUGACUGAAAGAGUCAAGGGUUCAA